ensembl:miRNA
UUCGGCAACCGGCUGCCUCGGUGGCACCGUCUCCCGCUCGGAACGGUUCGCCGUGCCGCCGCGCACCCGAG